GGAAGAAGCAAGACAGAAGGGGGCGGAAGACAGAAAAAAAAGGGCGAGAGAAACAGGCUGCGUUCUUUUGCUUGGAUUUUUGUUUGGAUUUGUGGAAUCACCAUUAAUGAAUAUAUAUGCAAUCAGAUAUAUAUAUAUAUAUAUAUAUUAUGUAGAAAUGUCCAUGAAAGCAACAAUAACCAAUUUGUCGAUUAUUGCUCCCUGCUUCCAUUAUCUGUGAUUUAAUUAUUUUUAUUUUAUAAAACCAUGCAUCCAUCAUAACUUUUCUCCAACCUACCUGACCCAAUGCCAAAUAAUGUUUUGUAUAUGUUUACAAUGAUGUAAUGUGGCCAUUGAAAUGAUCUCAGAAUGAGAAAGUGAUCAAUUGUGUUUCCGAAGUUUUGUGUCAUGAAAGAUAAUCCUAAGAUUCAACAAUUUUUAAACAUUUUUACAUUUACUUGGUAAAGGAUGAAUCCAACUUCAAUCUUAGCUUUUUCAUUAUUUAUUAUGCUGCUUUUCUAUUUCGAAGUUCUUAUUUGUUUUACUUAGCUUUAAUUUCAUUUGAUUAGCUUUAUUAGAUUACAUUUAGAGUAUGUCUAUGCUUUGAAGCUCUGACAUUUCCAGGUUGUGAUUUGGUUUAAGGUUUUGUGCUUGCCUUUGCUUCUGUGCAUAAAGAAAUUUAAGUGUUUUUCUCAAUUUGUUUUGUUCUGUACAUUCAAUUUAAUUAUUUUUGUCAAUUUCUUUUCGUAAUUUAUUUUUCUCAGUUUGGGUGAUUUGAACACCUAAAUUAUGUUCUGUUUUAUAUCCUGUUGAUUCAAAGAAUGGCCCUUUCUUCUGCCAAUCAUUUGAACCUGAAUGAUUAAAAACAGUUCACAUUUGCUUCCAUUUCCAGGCUGUCAUUUGGUUUAAGGUUUUUUAAAUUUCCUUUGCCUCUGUGCAUUUCAAUUUCAAUGUUUUUGUCAAUUUACAGUGCUUGCUAAAUCGAUUUCAAGGGUGGAAGUAUAGCUAAAACCCUCAAGAGUUUUAGUUACUUAUACUAUUUCCCCAUACUUUCCAGAUUUCGUUUUGGAUCUUAAUAAUAGUUGCUAUAUUGCUUUAAAUUGUCAAUGAUUUCAGUUCUUUGUUUUAUUUUCUUUUUGGAACUCAUGAGUGUGCAGUUUGAUCACUGAGUUUGACAAACAAAUAUAUAGAACUUUUCAAAUAGACUUUAAAUUUAUCCCAUAGAUUUUCUCCUUUUCUUUUUCUGAUUGUUGUUGCCAUGCUGAGAAAAAAAAUUAUAUUAAUGACUGUUCAUUUGCCUCUAUAGUAUUUCUUAGUUAUUUUGAUCUCCACUGGUUCUCUACAUGGUGUGGUUUUUCAAUCAGUUAGCAGUUUUUAAAAAUUGAAAAACAUUAUAGUUGUAAGCGUAAUCAUUUGAUUAGUCUGCCUUAUAGCAUAAUUCCUGGACACCAAGGAUCUAACCAUGUACAAGGCCCAACUAUAUAGUUUGUUUCUAUUUGCACCUGGUAGGCUUUCAUUUCAGUAUAGCCUUUCAUUUCGUUUCAUAUAGGUUAGGCUUCUUUUUCACCAUUAGCUAUCUUCUGAUGAUAGUUUAAUAGCACUUGGGAAUUUAGCGCAAAUAAGUUAUCUACUCUAUUUAUUUCUACUGAGCAAUAUAUCUUUGCCGAGUAAUAUAGUUGCCCGUUUCUCUGUUUCGAUUAUUUUAUCUGAUAAGAACUCAUAAGUUGCCUAUGUUUAAAGCUACUUCAUUUGAUUGGUGUUUUAGUUUGUGUGGUUUACCCAGAAGAAAUCUAACACUGUAAGAAGCUGGAUUCUGGUGGAAAUUGGACAACUUUGUGGGGAUUUCAAGGUCUUUCUGAGAGGUGAAUGUUUUGGAAGAUUUUAUAAAUUUGGAUCAUUUAAGGAAGAAGUUGGUUCCAUCCUGUUUUGAGUUUAGAUCAAAGUCUCAUUACAACGUCGUGAUCUGCUCUUCUUCUGCCUUUGAUCUAGGGGUUCAGACCUAUUGCAUUUGAAUCAAGGCUUUGGUUCUGUUUUUAUCGUUACAGUCCUUUAUUCUUUUUUGGUGGCAUUCAUACGCAUCUACGCUUUCGUCUAUAUAACGAUUAAUGGAGCAGCAACCAAUUCGUUUACUGAAGCCAUACCAGCCAACAAACAAACUCCAAAUUAGGGUAUGCAGAAUGUGGACCACAAAGAGCAUCGGAGAUAAUCCUCAACCUAUAAGUCUUGAUUGUGUCUUUAUUGAUAAAGAUGGAGAUGUGGUUCACAUAACCAUGAACGCUCGAGACAUCCAAUUUUUUUGGACCAUCUAAGUGUAGGCAAUGCAUACGAAAUAAACAAAUUUCGUGUCGUACACAACAGGAGAUCAAGCAAGGUUAUCCUUCAUGCUGCGAUGAUUGAAUUGAAUAAGAACAUCACAAUCGUUCCUAUUCACAAAACAAGUCAAGAGCUCCCAAUGCACUGGUUCAAUUUAAUUGAACUUGAUCAACUUUAUCAAAGAAUCAACAACGAUGUUGAGCUUACAGAUGUGUUUGGUUGCCUAACGGCUGUACAACCGACUGAAGAGAUCACUAUCCAAAAGACAAGAGUUGCAAAAAAGAGAAAUCUUAGCCUAAAAAAUAUUAAAGACGAAUCAGUGAGAAUCACCUUAUGGGGAGAGAUUGCAACAAAUUUUGAGAACAGUGGAAUACAAUCGCUUUUGCCACCUGUAUUUGUGGCUUUAACAAGCCUCAAGGUCAACCAAUACCAAGGAAAUCCUAUUCUCGGAAGCACAUGAUCAACCGUUUGUGUUUUCAAUCCGGAGAUUCCGCAACUCUCCGAAUACAAACACAAGUUUAAACAUCUUAGAUCACCUGUUCAAAUCCUACCACCUCAGCUGAGAUGUAUAAAGGGUGCGCAGUCGAUGCUAAUGCUGAAUCAAAAACAAUUGACCAAUUGCUACUACUUGAUCCUGCAUUGCACAAGAAUACAAGUUUCGUAUGCCAAGCAACUAUUGUUGGAUUUGAUUUGACUAGGGGUUGGUGGUACAAAUCAUGCCCGUCCUGCCAUAAAGUUGUCAAAAACAACUCUAGAUCGUUUGAGUGCAAUGAACAUGGUUUCAUAAACAGAUUACCCGAACCAUGAUCUGAUUGUGGAAGACAAUACGAAUCAACACAACUUUCUCAUGAUAAGAAAGCACGCUGAAAAAAAUACUUCGUGUUUCUUGCCACACUUUGGUGAUAGAGGAUGGAUAUGAGGAUCCUUUCAUAGUUCCACCAACUCUAAAAAAUUUGGUUGGCGAGACAAAACAAUUUCAGCUCUCUUUUGGAAGCCAAAACACUAACUUUGGGAAAACGGAUUUCAUCGUUCAUGGACUACUACAAGAUCAACCGCACUCAAACCCAACAAUUGCCUUAAUCACACCACAAACACCUGUUACCACCGUAGGAAAACAAAUUUUAACUGAAGCGACCCUUUCCCAGCAACUACAUCAACAACCCCAACCAACUACACCCACAAAGACUUCAAAGAGAGCGUUGUUUCCUGAUCAAACAGAGAAAUCUGACAGCAAAAAACCUCGCGGCGACCAAACAGAGACAACCAAUUCUGCCAGAAUUGCUAGAGAAUUCCACAAUAUGGUUGUCCCCAAAAUUGAACCAGCCGACAAAGUGCCGUUAGCCGCACUCAGAACAAAAUCUCAAAGCAAAAAACCCAAAGAUAGUGUGGAAGAUGUCUACUCUCAAAAAAAGUGAACAAUGCAAUCUCCGUAAUCGACUGCUGCAAGCCAUUCUACAUGUUUUCAGCUAUCAACAUUUUUGCUUCAACACCUACAUGUUCUUUGCCUUGCAUGUUUGUGCUUGGAAACUUAGAUGCUAGAAUGAGAACAAAACAGUCUUUAUCUUUUCUGUGAACUAUAUGUUACUUCUGUUUCUUCUAUAUAUUAGGGAACCAAAACGUUUCGUUUCGUCCUGUUAAUUGUACAAUGCAGUUCAAGGUGAUGCAUUCAAGCCCCGCAGCAUCGCGCGGGCAUUUUUUCUAGUGUAUACAAUAAUGACAAGGAGACAUGAAUGAUGAAUUAACAGCAACAUACACGAUGUUUGUGCAA